UGUUUCAGGAGAAAAGAAUGAGAAGCUGGAGGCAUGGAAGACAGACAACAUCCAGGGAAGUUCCCUAAUCCCAUCCUAUUUUCCUUGAGAAAGAUGGAACCCCAGGGUAAAAGGGGAUAAGAAUGCCCCUGUAGGGCCUACAUCACUGUCUUCUGUCUACAGACCUCCUCCUUUUGAGGACAUUUUCUCUCAACUCAUUUUGCUGGGAGCUCCUAAAUAUCUCUCAAGGCAAUAACCAGGAUGGUGAGGAGAUUUAACAUCAAGGAUGGGUUGAAGAAACUAGAGAAGCUUAACCCAGAAAAGGGAAGAUAUAAAGAAUCAUAUUGUAUCAUCAUCAUCAUCAUCAUCAUU